AUUAAAUCGAAAAUAAAAUCAAAGCGAAAUCUUCAAUUCAAUUUUAAAUCUCCAAUUUUUAAGAUUGAAAUUAUCAAUUUUGUAGCUAACUUGAAGGAAGUCUAUUUUCUCAAAGGAGGGAGUGGUUACUAAAUUCUUUAGGCUGCCUGAGAUUAAGAAGGUCUAAACUCUGCCUAGCCUUUUAUGGGUUCUCUGGCAAUUAUUGAUUCUUUGCUCAACAGUUUUUUAGUUGCUUGUUCUGCCUAGCUUGCUGUUUCCAUGGGGAUAUUGAUUUGUUUAGGAGAGCUGUGCUUGAUUUGGUUUGAGAGUUUAGAGUCUGCAUGUCCUCGAACGUGGAUGAGCUUCCCUUUUGAGCGCCCAAUGUAGGCUUCUCGAUGGCUGCCGGCGGCAUCUUCUAGUGGUGGAGGUGGUUUACCAUGUUAUGUGAUGCUGGGUCUUUAGGUUUCGAGUCUCCCACCCAUUCCUACUCUAAGGCUCUAUGUCAUAUGGAUUUGGGCUUUCUAUCCCUGGGUUUAAGCAUGGGACAGUAAGGUGUUCUAUGUUUCUGGGUAUGGACUUUGUAAUUUAUUUUCGAAAUAUCUUCAUUUUUUAUUGCAAAA
rnacentral:misc_RNA from 1 species